rnacentral:rRNA from 1 species
GUGGGGAAUAUUGGACAAUGGGGGCAACCCUGAUCCAGCCAUGCCGCGUGUGUGAAGAAGGCCUUUUGGUUGUAAAGCACUUUAAGCGAGGAGGAGGCUUACCUGGUUAAUACCUGGGAUAAGUGGACGUUACUCGCAGAAUAAGCACCGGCUAACUCUGUGCCAGCAGCCGCGGUAAUACAGAGGGUGCAAGCGUUAAUCGGAUUUACUGGGCGUAAAGCGCGCGUAGGUGGCUAAUUAAGUCAAAUGUGAAAUCCCCGAGCUUAACUUGGGAAUUGCAUUCGAUACUGGUUAGCUAGAGUAUGGGAGAGGAUGGUAGAAUUCCAGGUGUAGCGGUGAAAGGCGUAGAGAUCUGGAGGAAUACCGAUGGCGAAGGCAGCCAUCUGGCCUAAUACUGACACUGAGGUGCGAAAGCAUGGGGAGCAAACAGGAUUAGAAACCCUGGUAGUCC